GGGGGGGCAGGGGGCUUUCCAUCAGUUACCGGGGAGGCGAGGAAGCCGACGGGGGGGACAGAGAAGGUGCAGCCGGGGGAGGAGGAAAGCCGAGAGAAAGGUGCCUCUGCAAUGUAGGAUGGGAUGAGGUUUAAGAGGGAAUUAGGCGCGGUGGUGGAUGUGGUCAUCUUAGACAAUACUCCUGGUUAUAAAAGGACAAAGAUUUUCAAGGUCCCUAUGAUAGAAAAUCGUCAGUGUUUUUUUGGACGAACAAACGAGAAGGAGGUAUGUUCACGAAUGUCCAAUAUAGCCUUACAAGCUACCUAAAUAUCCACCAAGAAAGGAAUCAUUAAACCAGUUUUGAUACAAACAUAGCAUUCAGGGAACACCGUAGGGUAUAAAAAAAGUCUGUGUUCAUAUAAGCUAAAAAGGAAGAAUGUCUAUGGUUUUUUCAUUAACAAUUAGAAAUAGGGUAAUACGAUUUCAUGUCUUUGAAAAUAACUAAAUACGUGAAAUAUUAGAAUAUGCAUAUGUUAAAAUUUAGAGGUAUAGACAUCAAAUUGUUAUAAGUUCUCCUGGAAACGUUGUUGGAGGAAAAAGGAAAAUUAACUUUUUUUUUUUUUUUUCACUUUUUAGGGCUGCACUUGCAGCAUAUGGAAGUUCCCAGGCUAGGGGUCAAAUCGGAGCUGUAGCUGCCAGCCUAUACCACAGCCAUGGCAAUGCAGAAUCUGAGCCUCAUCUGCAACCUACACCACAGCUCACAGCAACUGCCGUAUCCUCAACCCACUUAGUGAGGCCAGGGAUCGAACCUGCAUCCUCAGGGAUACUGGUCACAUUCAUGUCUGCUGAGUCAUGAUGGGAACUCCCUGCUUCUAAGAUUUGGUGAGUGGAGUGAUAGGAAGUAGAGUCAAGAAGGGGGAUCUUUUUUUCUUUCCUUGUGAAAAAUAAUUGCCAUAUGUCUGCUGAUGGGAGUGUUCAGUAGAGGGGGAAAUGGGAAAUAGAGAAGUGAGACAGGGAGUUGCCGUCACGGCUGAGGGAAAUCUGAUGAGCAUCCAUAAGGACGCAGGUUGGAUCCCUGGCCUUGCUCAGUGGGUUAAGGAUCCAGCGUUGCUGUGAGGUGCAGUGUAGGUCGCAGAUGCGGCUUGGAUUUGGUGUUGCUGUGGCUGUGGGGUAGGCCGUCGGCAGCAGCUUGAUUCCACCCCGGGCCUGGGAAUCUCCAUAUGCUGCAGGCACAGCCCUAAACACACACACACACACACUCCAUCAGUAUCCUACCUACUGUGUGAAGAAGUGGUGGGUGUUCAUCUCCAGGGAUUCGGUCUCGGAUGAGAAUAAAUACAGUUCAUCAUUUUAACCAAAGAGACCCAAGUUAUAAAUUCUGGUAGAUGUGCAGAUAUUUUCAUGGGAGGUUGGUUGGUUUGGGGGCCGGGGGGCUUCACCUGUGGCAUGUGGACAUUCCUGGGCCGGGGAUCAAACCCUCAUCACAGCAGUGAUCUGAGCCACUGCGGUGACAACGUCAGAUCCUUGACCCUCUGUGCCGCAGGGGAGCUCCGUUGGUGGGCAUGUUAGGAAGCUCUUCCUGACGGCAUCGCUGUUCUCAGGGCAGUAGGACGCAGGGUCCUGGUGUCGGAUGUUGAGGGAAGGGGGUAAAAUACCUUCAAGAGCAACGGAGAGAAUGCAGAGCGAGUGGAGCAGUGUGUGAUCGCCUGGGAACCAGCAUUGUGUCCACCUGAAGUUCACAGUCGACACCUUGAUCUUAGCAAGUUAAGACCCGUGGAUCAACCCUGGAAGAAGAGAGGCAGGCGCCGUCUGCGUUGCGGGUGGUUUAGGAUGCCACAUGCUUCCAGAGCAAAUUUCUGACCCAUCGCCCCUGAGGUUUUGUAAGGGAGCAGGGAAAAGGGCGUUCUUGUCCGUGUGUUGUUGGCAAAGAGACCUCAGCCGGCCUUCUGGGCAAGGGGUCUGAUGACCUCAACAGCCUAAAACCCCCGCGCGGCCACGGCCCAUGAGGUUGUGGUGUGCGGCUGAGAGCCCCUUCCCUGGGACCCUGGGUGGCCUUGGGGACGCCUUUCCUGGCGGGGUGGGUUGCAGAGUCUUCUGCUGGCUCAGCGGAGCUGUUCUUGGGGAACUGCCCUCAGCUGGAGAGCCACCUGCUGACUGGCAGCUGUCCGGGGCUGCAGCGACCCACCCUCCUCGGCUGCGGGUGGCAUGGCUCCGAAGGGCCACGCUGGGUCCAGGGCCCCCUGGGAGAUGCGUGGAGGCCUCGCGGCUGCCUUUCAGCCCCGCUUCCCUCUUUGCAGUUCUGGUUUCUUCUCCUCCGCCCCCGACGGGCACUGAUGUCCAGGGUGUCCCCAGCGAUUCCCCGACCCCUCGGUUGCACUCACGCUGAGCCUCGUUCCCAGGGAACCCAACCUAAGGCCCUUUGAUUCAGGAAGUGUGUAAUUGGGAGUUGAGCAAGCAAAAUGGAGGGUGCAGAGAUUUGGCUCUUAGGUUAUUGCCAAGAGUGUAAAUGUGAAAUGUCAUCACAGGGAAGUUUGCCUCUUUGCGUGGUCUGCCCACAGGACCGAGGCAGCAAGCUGCUGCAGACACAUUUUAAAGCCGUGGAAAGAUUUUUUUUUUUCUUUUUACGGCUGCCCCUGUGGCAUGUAGCAGGUCCCAGGCUAGGCGUCCACUCAGAGCUGCAUCUGCCUGGCUACACCACAGCCACCCCGGAUCCAUGCUGCCUAUGCGACCUAUACCAAAGCUUGUGUCGCGGCCGGAUCCUUCAUUCACGGAGAGAGGCCAGAGAUGAACCUGCAGCCUCAUGGACACGAGAUUGGGGUCUCACCCUGCUUAGCCCCAGUGGGAACUCCAGUGAAAAGAUUUUCGCAAUGUUUUGCUAAGUGAAGACUGCCAGUUACCAAGCAGUCAGUUGAGGAAGAUGAUUAAAAUCAUUAGUGUGAAUACGUGUGUAUGAGAUUCGUGUGUCUUGAGAGAUCGGCAUGAAUAAUCACCAAGACCUUUCAAGCAGUUAAUGGAGCAAGAGAGUUACAGGUGGUGUACACUCUUUUAUCUUUUUGUUCCUAGUGGCUCAUUUUUUUUUUUUUUGAUCUUCUGUCUUUUGAGGGCCACACCUGUGGCAUAUGGAGAUUCCCAGGCUAGGGGUCUGAUCAGAGCUAUAGCCGCCAGUCUACACCACAGCUGCAGCAACGCCAGAUCUGAGCCGUGUCUGCGACCUACACCACAGCUCAUGGCCAUGCCGGAUCCUUAACCCACUGAGCGAGGCCAGGGAUCGAACCCACAAUCUCAUGGUUCCUAGUUGGAUUCAUUUCCGCUGCACCAAGACGGGAACUCCAUAAUUUUUAUAUACCUAUUAUAAUUUGUGUAAUGAGAUGAAGCAGAUGGUUAAUUUGUAGAUACAUGUAUUAAAACAUUUUUCAUCUGCAGUGUAAGAGGAACAAGAAACACGUGUGGGGAGCUGAGUACAAUGGGUUGGUGAAGCUCUGCUCGGUCCAGACCACACCAGAGCUUCCAUUCCAGCCCCUGUCAGCAAACAUCUCAAGACUUGGCUGGACAUGACUACAUUUUUAAAACUCAGGGCCCAGGGUCUUUUAAGGAUGGAUGUAGAUUCUGUUGGGCCUGUCUGUCUCAGAACUGCAGUGUAGAUGCUGAAAUGUAUAUAGUACUGGGAGACUUCAGGGAUGUAUGGCAGUGAUAUACAGAAUAUUUGAAAUCAAGACGUUUUUAAAAACUGACCUAUAGGAAGUGGCUCAGUGGUUAAUGAACCCGACUAGGAUCUGUGAGGAAGUGGGUUCGAUCCCUACUCUUGCUCAAUGGGUUAAGGAUCCGGUGUUGCCAUGAGCUGUGGUGUGGGUUGCAGACACUGCUCGGAUCCUGCAUGGCUGCGGCUGUGGCCUAGGUCAGCGGCUACAUCUCCGAUUGGACCCCCAGCCUGGAAACCUCCAUAUGUCGUGAAGUGCAGCCCCCCCAAAAAACCCAAAAAACCCCAGUGACCUUGAUAAUUGCCAUACGUGUAGGUGUUUGCAUGCUUACCCUGCCUUGGAGACGCUAACAUUAUACCGCAACAUUUGAUGAAAUUCUUGCAUCCGUAGAACUUGAAGUACUGAUGGUACCACCUUUGUGAUUUUUUUUUUUACAUCUCUGCCAUCUCUGAUAAGACUUAAUUUUUUUUUCCUUAAAUGGACCUUCUGUAGAAACCUAAGAACUUUCCUGUCCUGAUUGUAAGUAAUAAUGGGGAGAUAAAAUUGAUUUAAUUUACUAGUCAUCAUUUUCAGCUGCAUAUUAAAAUAAGUUCCUAACCAUUGAGAUGGAAGAUGUCUCUGUGCCUGUGGAAAAGCAUCACCUGCCUUCAUCCCCUGCUUGGGGAACACGCUGCCCCAGGUUGUCAGAAUCUGCAACAACAGACAUUGUGCUGGGGCUGGAGGCCCUUCUGCUGAGCUAGAAGGAGAAGAGGAAGGAAGGUCCUGGGCCCGGGCUUGUCUCAGGACCAGCAAGCCUUGACUUCUGCCAACCAUUUAUUUGUAUGUCCCUGUUGUGGAACAGGAACCUAUUGUAUGUUAAAGGGGCUUUUAUGGGCGCGUGGGAGAAGACGGAUGGCCCCGUAGCAGAGAGUAAAUUUUUAUGGACUGUUCUCUCGGGGGCUGCUGGAGACCAUCAUAGACACAAUUGAGGUUUGUUUUUUUCUUUUUGGCCGUGGGUCAUUUACCAGAGCCUGACACCCAGUUGGUGGUCGCAAAGGUUUCUUGAAUUUAAUUGACUGAAGGCUUUAAAAAACGUUUCCUGGAGUUCCCAUCGUGGCGAAGUGGUUAAUGAGUCCCACUAGGAACCAUGAGGUUGCGGGUUCGGUCCCUGCCCUUGCUCAGUGGGUUAAGGAUCCGGCGUUGCUAUGAGCUGUGGUGUAGGUUGCAGACGCGGCUUGGAUCCCGCGUUGCUGUGGCUGUGGUGUAGGCCGGUGGCUAUGGCUCCGAUUAGACCCCUAUCCUGGGAACUUCCAUAUGCUGCAGGAGCGGCCCAAGAAAUGGCAAAAAGACAAAAAAAAAAAAAAAAAAAAAA
rnacentral:lncRNA from 1 species